CAGGACGUCAUAGAGAGGAUACCUUUUCUCUGUAAGACUUUUUCGAAGAGUCGAGUUGUUUGGGAAUGCAGCUCAAAGUGGGUGGUAAAUUCCAUCUAAAGCUAAAUAUUGGCGAGAGACCGAUAGCGAACAAGUACAGUGAUGGAAAGAUGAAAAGAACUUUGAAAAGAGAGUGAAAAAGUACGUGAAAUUGUUGAAAGGGAAGGGCAUUUGAUCAGACAUGGUGUUUUUUGCAUGCACUCGCCUCUCGUGGGCUUGGGCCUCUCAAAAAUUUCACUGGGCCAACAUCAAUUCUGGCAGCAGGAUAAAUCAUUAAGAAUGUAGCUACUUCGGUAGUGUUAUAGCUUUUUGGAAUACUGUUAGCCGGGAUUGAGGACUGCGCUUCGGCAAGGAUGUUGGCAUAAUGGUUAAAUGCCGCCCGUCUUAACA
rnacentral:rRNA from 1 species